AUGGGGUCGACUACUAUGGCACAGAACAGAAAAUGAUUGUUCUGUAAUUUUGACGUGCAUAGCAAAGAUCGACUCAUAGGGUUGACUCAUGCACAGGGGUCGACUCAUGAGGUCGACUCAAUUGGGUGAGCCAGUCAAAAAAUAGCAUGCCGUUCCACCCCAUAUGAUAUGAGUCGACUCAUGGGAUCGACUCAAUUUUAUAAAAAUAAUUUUCUUUCAAAAUAUAC
rnacentral:lncRNA from 1 species